rnacentral:rRNA from 1 species
AGCGAACGCUGGCGGCAGGCCUAAAACAUGCAAGUCGAACGCCCGUAGCAAUACGGGAGUGGCAGACGGGUGAGUAACACGUGGGAACGUACCCUUUGGUUCGGAACAACACAGGGAAACUUGUGCUAAUACCGGAUAAGCCCUUACGGGGAAAGAUUUAUCGCCAGAGGAUCGGCCCGCGUCUGAUUAGCUUGUUGGUGAGGUAACGGCUCACCAAGGCUACGAUCAGUAGCUGGUCNGAGAGGAUGAUCAGCCACACUGGGACUGAGACACGGCCCAGACUCCUACGGGAGGCAGCAGUUAGGAAUCUUGGACAAUGGGCGCAAGCCUGAUCCAGCCAUGCCGCGUGAGUGAUGAAGGCCUUAGGGUUGUAAAGCUCUUUCAGCGGGGAAGAUAAUGACGGUACCCGCAGAAGAACGCCCCGGCUAACUUCGU